rnacentral:rRNA from 1 species
GACGAACGCUGGCGGCGUGCUUAACACAUGCAAGUCGAACGGAAAGGCCCUGCUUUUGUGGGGUGCUCGAGUGGCGAACGGGUGAGUAACACGUGAGUAACCUGCCCUUGACUUUGGGAUAACUUCAGGAAACUGGGGCUAAUACCGGAUAGGAGCUCCUGCUGCAUGGUGGGGGUUGGAAAGUUUCGGCGGUUGGGGAUGGACUCGCGGCUUAUCAGCUUGUUGGUGGGGUAGUGGCUUACCAAGGCUUUGACGGGUAGCCGGCCUGAGAGGGUGACCGGCCACAUGGGGACUGAGAGACGGCCCAGACGCCUACGGGAGGCAGUAGUGGGGAAGAUUGCACAGUGGGCGGAAGCCUGAUGCAGCAACGCCGCGUGCGGGAUGACGGCCUUCGGGUUGUAAACCGCUUUCGCCUGUAACGAAGCGUGAGUGACGGUAAUGGGUAAAGAAGCACCGGCUAACUACGUG